ACACUGAGGAACCUGCUGCCUUUAGAACCUCCCCAGGUACUGAGACACUGAGGAACACCCUGCCUCUAGAGCCUCCCCAGGUACUGAGACACUGAGGAACCUGCUGCCUCUAGAACCUCCCCAGGUACUGAGACACUGAGGAACCUGCUGCCUCUAGAACCUCCCCAGGUACUGAGACACUGAGGAACCUGCUGCCUCUAGAACCUCCCCAGGUACUGAGACACUGAGGAACCUGCUGCCUCUAGAGCCUCCCCAGGUACUGAGACACUGAGGAACCUGCUGCCUCUAGAGCCUCCCCAGGUACUGAGACACUGAGGAACACCCUGCCUCUAGAACCUCCCCACGUACUGAGACACUGAGGAACCUCCUGCCUCUAGAACCUCCCCACGUACUGAGACACUGAGGAACCUCCUGCCUACAGACAGGCUCUAGAACCUCCUCAGGUACUGAGACACUGAGGAACCUGCUGCCUCUAGAACUUCCCCAGGUACUGAGACACUGAGGAACCUGCUGCCUCUAGAACCUCCCCAGGUACUGAGACACUGAGGAACCUGCUGCCUCUAGAACCUCCUCAGGUACUGAGACACUGAGGAACCUGCUGCCUCUAGAACCUCCUCAGGUACUGAGACACUGAGGAACACCCUGCCUCCAGACAGGCUCUAGAACCUCCUCAGGUACUGAGACACUGAGGAACCUCCUGCCUCCAGACAGGCUCUAGAACCUCCUCAGGUACUGAGACACUGAGGAACACCCUGCCUCUAGAACCUCCCCAGGUACUGAGACACUGAGGAACCUGCUGCCUCUAGAACCUCCCCAGGUACUGAGACACUGAGGAACCUCCUGCCUCUAGAACCUCCUCAGGUACUGAGACACUGAGGAACCUGCUGCCUCUAGAACCUCCCCACGUACUGAGACACUGAGGAACCUGCUGCCUCUAGAACCUCCCCAGGUACUGAGACACUGAGGAACCUGCUGCCUCUAGAACCUCCCCAGGUACUGAGACACUGAGGAACCUGCUGCCUCUAGAACCUCCUCAGGUACUGAGACACUGAGGAACCUCCUGCCUCUAGAACCUCCUCAGGUACUGAGACACUGAGGAACCUCCUGCCUCCAGACAGGCUCUAGAACCUCCUCAGGUACUGAGACACUGAGGAACCUCCUGCCUCUAGAACCUCCC